GGUAUUUCCAGAGUCGCCUAUAGUCCGACAAACUGUCUUCCGGCUGAUGGAGUAGUUGCAAGCAUUCGCCUUCAUACUCGGUCUCGCGCCCCCAGCCCCCUUACGCACAAAUAACAUCCUGGAGUACAACUUAAAGAGCCACACCGGAACUCCUCCUUUGGUCGUCCGCCGUCGUCCUGGCUAAGAAUCGAAAGCGAGGUCCUCGGUCAACGAGAUGGACAUUGCUACGACUUAUAAAUAUCGAAGAACCCCGUCGAGAACUCUUUGUCUAUCGAAAGUCUGACAUGUUGAAUGAUAUCCUCUUCUGUGCCGU